UCCCUGGUGGUUCAGCAGGUUAAGGAUCCAGCAUUGUCAGUGCGGUAAUGCAGGUUCGAUCCCUGGCUGGGGAA
rnacentral:tRNA from 1 species